ACGGAGGAUCCAAGCGUUAUCCGGAUUUAUUGGGUUUAAAGGGUGCGUAGGCGGCCUAUUAAGUCAGGGGUGAAAGACGGUGGCUCAACCAUCGCAGUGCCCUUGAUACUGAUGGGCUUGAUUACACUUGAGGUAGGCGGAAUGUGACAAGUAGCGGUGAAAUGCAUAGAUAUGUCACAGAACACCAAUUGCGAAGGCAGCUUACUAAGGUGUCAAUGACGCUGAGGCACGAAAGCGUGGGGAUCAAACAGGAUUAGAUACCCUGGUAGUCCACGCCCUAAACGAUGAAUACUCGAUGUUAGCGAUAUACAGUUAGCGUCAAAGCGAAAGCGUUAAGUAUUCCACCUGGGGAGUACGCCCGCAAGGGU
rnacentral:rRNA from 1 species